GUUGCAGACUUUUUCUUUCUUUUAUAAUAGUAUCUCUCAUCAUUUAUCUCUCUCUCUCUCUUGAAAGUUCACCACCAUCUCUCCAUUUUUUGUGAGAAAUUUCCUGUUUAAUGGAUAAAAACCUAAAUCAAUACUCAAACCAACCACCACACCCAUCUCCCUUGUCUCUCUGCCGGCGACUAAAUCAAAACUCCGGCAAUGGCUUCCGCCGCAACACCCGCCGCUUUCUCUCUCCUCCCCACCACCACCAUCAGCACCACCGUCAUCGUCAACCACCAUCAGCGCCACCGUCAAGAGAGAUAUGGGUUUUUGUUGAGGCGUAGGUGUGCGUUUUCAGAUGAAGGGUGAAGGAUGAUGUGGUUGUUCUGGUGGGUUAGGGGCGGCGGUCGGUGAAGGGUGAAUGGGUGAUGUGGUUGUUUGUGGUGGGUGUUUGGUGAAGGGUGAAGAGGUCCGUGACGAGGUUGGCGCUGCCGGCGACCGAGGGGUGGUGAUGGUGGUUUUGCGACGGGUGUAGUGGUGGUGUAGGGCGGAGGGAGGCCGAAGAUUCUGGUCCAUUUAUAUCCAUCCAGUCCCAAAAACUUGCUUCUGGUCAAUUUAUAUCCAAUUCAAGAAUUCGUAAGCUUAUUUUGAAUGAAAGCUUGGCAUUCAUGUUUUGAGAUGUCUCAUCUUCAUGAGGAUUCUUUUAUGGGAAUAUGAUGAAAUAGAGCUCUGCUAUUUUGGAAACAGGUGUUAACGGUUAUGUUAUGCAACUUCAAGUAAUCAAAUCUGGUGGUGCCGAUGGUGCCCGGUUGUGCCGAUGGUGCCCGGUGGUGCCGGUGUUUUUUUAUAUUUUUUAGUCGGUUUAUGCCGGUGGUCCUGGUGGUGCCGACGAUGCCGGUGGUCUUUGUUUCAUCCCCGGUGGUGCCGACAGAGGCGGAGGUGACUUUUCACCGAUGAUGCCCGGCGACCUUUAGUUGUUUGUUUAUUGUAGUUGUUUGUGAUUCUGGUGGGAUUCUUUGGUGAUUGAUUUGUGUUUUUGA